CCUACGGGAGGCAGCAGUGAGGAAUAUUGGUCAAUGGGCGGGAGCCUGAACCAGCCAAGUCGCGUGAGGGAAGACGGUCCUAUGGAUUGUAAACCUCUUUAGGCGGGGAGCAAUGCCGGGCACGUGUGCCCGGAGGGAGAGUACCCGCAGAAUAAGCAUCGGCUAACUCCGUGCCAGCAGCCGCGGUAAUACGGAGGAUGCGAGCGUUAUCCAGAUUUAUUGGGUUUAAGGGGUGCGUAGGCGGAUUUUUAAGGCAGCGGUAAAAUGUCCGGCCUCAACCCGGGCCGGCCGUUGAAACUGGGGAGCUUGAGUGGGCGAGAAGUAUGCGGAAUGCGUGGUGUAGCGGUGAAAUGCAUAGAUAUCACGCAGAACUCCGAUUGCGAAGGCAGCAUACCGGCGCCCGACUGACGCUGAGGCACGAAAGCGUGGGGAUCGAACAGGAUUAGAUACCCGUGUAGUC
rnacentral:rRNA from 1 species